UGGUCUGGGUCACCCUAGUCUCCUGGUCUUGGAGAAGUCAAGUUCUUAUCCCAGACUUGAGAGGUUACAAGCCUCCAGGUCUCUGGCAAAGUGUGGAGAUGAUGGACAGCCAUUGGUACACACACCAGCCAAUCCCUUAGCAUAUCUCUCUCGGUUUUGUCUCAGGUCUGCCUCAGCCACCUCCCUGACGCUGUCCCACUGUGUGGAUGUGGUGAAGGGGCUUCUGGAUUUUAAGAAGAGGAGAGGUCACUCAAUUGGGGGAGCCCCUGAGCAGCGAUACCAGAUCAUCCCUGUGUGUGUGGCCGCCCGACUUCCUACCCGGGCUCAGGAUGUGCUGCAGCCUCCUGGCCACUGGAGGGGCUGACCGCCUGAUCCACCUCUGGAAUGUUGUGGGAAGUCGCCUGGAGGCCAACCAGACCCUGGAGGGAGCUGGUGGCAGCAUCACCAGUGUGGACUUUGACCCCUCGGGCUACCAGGUUUUAGCAGCAACUUACAACCAGGCUGCCCAGCUCUGGAAGGUGGGGGAGGCACAGUCCAAGGAGACAUUGUCUGGACACAAGGAUAAGGUGAC
rnacentral:sRNA from 1 species